rnacentral:rRNA from 1 species
AGGGUUCGAUUCUGGCUCAGGACGAACGCUGGCGGCGUGCUUAACACAUGCAAGUCGAACGGGGAUUAGUUGAUUGAGAGCUUCGGCAGGAAAUCGAUUAAUUCGAGUGGCGGACGGGUGAGUAACGCGUGAGCAACCUGUCCCAGACAGGGGGAUAACACUUGGAAACAGGUGCUAAUACCGCAUAAGACCACGGGAUCACAUGGUUCUGGGGUAAAAGGAGCAAUCCGGUUUGGGGUGGGCUCGCGUCCGAUUAGCCAGUUGGCGGGGUAACGGCCCACCAAAGCGACGAUCGGUAGCCGACCUGAGAGGGUGAACGGCCACAUUGGAACUGAGAGACGGUCCAAACUCCUACGGGAGGCAGCAGUGGGGAAUAUUGGGCAAUGGGCGAAAGCCUGACCCAGCAACGCCGCGUGAGUGAAGAAGGCCUUCGGGUUGUAAAGCUCUGUUAUAGUUGACGAAGGAAGUGACGGUAGGCUAUAAGGAAGCCCCGGCUAACUACGUGCCAGCCGCGGC